rnacentral:rRNA from 1 species
AACGAACGCUGGCGGCAUGCCUAACACAUGCAAGUCGAACGAUGCCUUCGGGCAUAGUGGCGCACGGGUGCGUAACGCGUGGGAAUCUGCCCUUGGGUUCGGAAUAACUCAGAGAAAUUUGAGCUAAUACCGGAUGAUGACGUAAGUCCAAAGAUUUAUCGCCCAAGGAUGAGCCCGCGUAAGAUUAGCUAGUUGGUGGGGUAAAGGCCUACCAAGGCGACGAUCUUUAGCUGGUCUGAGAGGAUGAUCAGCCACACUGGGACUGAGACACGGCCCAGACUCCUACGGGAGGCAGCAGUGGGGAAUAUUGGACAAUGGGCGAAAGCCUGAUCCAGCAAUGCCGCGUGAGUGAUGAAGGCCUUAGGGUUGUAAAGCUCUUUUACCAGGGAUGAUAAUGACAGUACCUGGAGAAUAGGCUCCGGCUAACUCCGUGCCAGCAGCCGCGGUAAU